rnacentral:rRNA from 1 species
GGUACCUGCCCUCGGGUCUGGGAUAGCUGCGGGAAACUGCAAUUAAUACCAGAUGACGUCUGAGGACCAAAGGUGUGAUUCCGCCAGGGGGUGGGCCUGCGUCCUAUCAGCUAGUUGGUGUGGUAAAGGCGCACCAAGGCAAAGACGGGUACGGGGUGUGAGAGCAUGCCCCCGCUCACUGGGACUGAGACACUGCCCAGACACCUACGGGUGGCUGCAGUCGAGAAUCUUCCGCAAUGGGCGCAAGCCUGACGGAGCGACGCCGCGUGUGGGAUGAAGGCCCUCGGGUUGUAAACCGCUGUCAGUGGGGAGCAAAUGGCUAGGGGUUCUCCCCUAGUCUUGAGCGAUCCGCAGAGGAAGCACAGGCUAAUUCCGUGCCAGCAGCCGCGGUAAUACGGAAUGUGCAAACGUUAUUCGGAAUCACUGGGCUUAAAGAGUCCGUAGGCGGCAUGUUAGGUGAGGUGUGAAAUCCCACGGCCCAAC